rnacentral:rRNA from 1 species
UACGUAGGGUGCGAGCGUUGUCCGGAAUUAUUGGGCGUAAAGGGCUCGUAGGCGGUUUUGUCGCGUCGGGAGUGAAAACCCAGGUGCUUAACACCUGGCUUGCUUUCGAUACGGGCAGACUAGAGGUAUUCAGGGGAGAACGGAAUUCCUGGUGUAGCGGUGAAAUGCGCAGAUAUCAGGAGGAACACCGGUGGCGAAGGCGGUUCUCUGGGAAUGACCUGACGCUGAGGAGCGAAAGUGUGGGGAGCGAACAGG